CAACACACACGCCAUGGGUGUACAACUAAGUUUGUCAUGGAAGGAUUUCUGGAUUUCUUCGAUGCCCUCUCCUUCAGCCAAACCUCUGCAUUUACAUGAAUUUUUAGAUUGCAGGGUCUGACAGCAUGAAGAAUAUAGACUGUUAGCAGCUAUAGAUUUAUUUUUCAAAGCAUUUUGGAUAGGACAAUUAAUGGAUGGUAGAAGUAAAACUGAAAAUCUUUUGCAGAAUCAUUUAUAUGGGGCACUUAUACAAUAGCUCUCUUGCACAAAAAAAAUCUCUUAACAAUAUCAAUGUAUAAGGGGCACUUAUACAUGAUAUGUUGGCAUCUUACAAUUUAAGAGAACUACCAUUCACAUUCACAUUCACGUUCACAUACACCAUAUUGAUCGUUUACAUAUCUGGCAAUUUCAUAGCAUCUGGCGUUUUAUCCUAUCUACAACAUCUCAAGCCUCAUUACUUUAUUCAACCAUGCUGAGCGAAGAUUACGGAGUUGAGUACCCAGAUGAGGAGACUAAGGAAUGAGUUUUGGCUCUUAAUAAUGGCUGCUCUGUUGCUUGGAAUUGCUUCUCUGACUGUGGUGAUGCAGAUACCAAAUUGGAGCGGUGCUGUUAGUGGAGGAAUCUGAUUCUUUGCGUUUUUAUCAUUCAUUUGUGAAGAAAUGGGCCGUACGAAGUGGUAAGGCUCUGAGGAAGGCACUUGCCACCAAGCACCCGCAACUAGAGGUAGUCAAGAAGCCUGACUGCUACCUGCCCGGGAAUCGUCACUCUUCGGAGUUUGUCAAGUAGAAAGUUCGUGAACGAAAGAAAUCUAAUCGAGAGGUAUUUUCUUUUUGGCAGAUAUCAUGAAUUAUGUUUGGGUGUCUAAACAAUAUUUGCCUAAAAGUAUACUUUGUUUUUUAGUGGUAUUUCAAAUAAGGUAACUUCCCCAAACACUGAUAUUUUGGUUUUCUAUUGGUAUGUGCGAAACCAGCUUGAUUCAGGUUACAAGGUUGAGGGUUGCGGAUAGUUAAUCAUGUUCAAUAACCUUAGUUGCAGGACUAUUCACUUAAAUUUUGGUUUCAAGUUGUAGAAAGACGGUUUUUCAUUCUUUCUUAAUAUAAGCUUUCAUUA